UCAUUCUUCAUGGUCGGCUAAGACAAGAACAAAGAGAAAAAAGAAGAGAAUAAACCCUAGUGAGCAAAAAUUCAAGGGAAAAUUGGUGGAUUCCAAGGAAUUAAGCAAGUAAAGGUGGUGAAACUUCCGAUAAGGGUAAGGAGAUUGUAUCCAAAGAUCGGGAUUAGGAGUACCUCGAUUCUCGAUAUUGCUUAGGACAGUCAGUAAAUAGCUGAUUACGUCGAGGGUUAUUAUUGGACUCGCCUCCUCAGAAAUUGUAGGUCCACAGCCUUUGUUACCUUUGGUCAUUCGAGGACCCACACGUCAUUGUAAAUUAAAUUACAUAUUCUGGUUAUUUGUGUUACCGUAUAUAUGAAUUUAUUUUGCUUUUAUGCUGUAAAAAUUAUUCAC